GCCGGGGUGGCUGAGUGGUAAAGGCGCCGGCCUCGAGAGCCGGUGCCCCUUCGGGGGCCCGCGGGUUCAAAUCCCGCCCCCGGCGCCA
rnacentral:tRNA from 1 species